rnacentral:rRNA from 1 species
AGUGAACGCUGGCGGUAGGCCUAACACAUGCAAGUCGAACGGCAGCACAGUAAGAGCUUGCUCUUACGGGUGGCGAGUGGCGGACGGGUGAGGAAUACAUCGGAAUCUACUUUUUCGUGGGGGAUAACGUAGGGAAACUUACGCUAAUACCGCAUACGACCUACGGGUGAAAGCAGGGGAUCUUCGGACCUUGCGCGAUUGAAUGAGCCGAUGUCGGAUUAGCUAGUUGGCGGGGUAAAGGCCCACCAAGGCGACGAUCCGUAGCUGGUCUGAGAGGAUGAACAGCCACAACUGAAAUGGGAAAAGGUCCAGAAUCCUAAGGGAGGGAGCAGUUGGGAAAAUUGGACAAUGGGGGGAAGCCUGAUCCAGCCAUACCGCGGGGGGUAAGAAGGGCUUCGGGGUUGAAAGGCCUUUUUGUGGGGAAGAAAAGGCGGAAGGUAAAACCCCCGCUGUUUGACGGUACCCCAAGAAGAAGCACCGGCUAACUUCGUG